GCUCCUGUAGCCUAAUUGGAAUGAGGCGGCAAACUAAAAUCUGUUUUUUGUAAGGGUUCGAGUCCCUUCAGGAGCAUCA
rnacentral:tRNA from 1 species